rnacentral:sRNA from 1 species
AUCAUAUUUGUAGUUUUUAGGGCUACAAAUGUAAUUUUAAGAAAAAAAGCUCUCUACAGUAAGUUCUCGUACCAUUGAAGGUAUAUUUUUGUGUUAUAGACCCAUGCAGAUGCAAAAGUCCAAGUGCUGGACAAUCAAAACGUGUCCAACGGAUGUGUGAGUAAAAUUCUGGGCAGGUAUUACGAGACUGGCUCCAUCAGACCCAGGGCAAUCGGUGGUAGUAAACCGAGAGUAGCGACUCCAGAAGUUGUAAGCAAAAUAGCCCAGUAUAAGCGGGAGUGCCCGUCCAUCUUUGCUUGGGAAAUCCGAGACAGAUUACUGUCCGAGGGGGUCUGUACCAACGAUAACAUACCAAGUGUAAGUUCAUUGAGAACAUCUGCCCUCCCUGCCCUAAGCCCAAUGCUCUCUCCUCUUUACCUCCUCCCACCCACUUUCUCCACUGUCUCUUAGUCUGUGUCCUCUCCCUGCUCCACAUUUGUCUCCUUUGUACCUGGGGGAACAGAGAGGAAUGCCCUGACCUUUCUUUGACUGUCUGGAAAAUGGGAGUCAAGUGUGGGGAGUCGUUCACUUCAUUUGCAUGCUGCAAAACAGAGGGCGGAGGCACCAGGGAAAGGCACUUGAAUGAAGAAGAAAAAUGAGAACCAGAUUGUAACUUCGUCCCAAUCCACCUGCCAGAACUUUCCUUCAGGUGUCACACAUCCAUUUCCAUCCUAAUAUUAAACAAUAUGAUGAAAGAAAGCUUUACACCAAGUCUAAAUAGUUUUUAUUUUCGGGCAGUCUUUUAACAAAGCAAAGCAACCGUGUGAGUUAGGUCACCAGAGACACCAAGCAAUGGUGAAGGACCCCCUCCCCCCAAUUCUCUAUUCAACUAAACUUCCAUGCCCAAAAUGAUAGCUAUCAUUUUUUCCACGGUGUAUCUGCAAAUCCACCCACUGUCCCGGGGUGGCUGGGAGCUUUUUAAUGGGUUGAGAGUUGCUUUUUAAGGUGGUGGGUGAGCUGAGAUGGGUGACUGUGUCUUCAGGAGACACUACCAUUUGGUUUGAUUUUGGUUUGAUUUGCAGGUGUCAUCAAUAAACAGAGUUCUUCGCAACCUGGCUAGCGAAAAGCAACAGAUGGGCGCAGACGGCAUGUAUGAUAAACUAAGGAUGUUGAACGGGCAGACCGGAAGCUGGGGCACCCGCCCUGGUUGGUAUCCGGGGACUUCGGUGCCAGGGCAACCUACGCAAGAUGGCUGCCAGCAACAGGAAGGAGGGGGAGAGAAUACCAACUCCAUCAGUUCCAAUGGAGAAGAUUCAGAUGAGGCUCAAAUGCGACUUCAGCUGAAGCGGAAGCUGCAAAGAAAUAGAACAUCCUUUACCCAAGAGCAAAUUGAGGCCCUGGAGAAAGAGUUUGAGAGAACCCAUUAUCCAGAUGUGUUUGCCCGAGAAAGACUAGCAGCCAAAAUAGAUCUACCUGAAGCAAGAAUACAGGUAUGGUUUUCUAAUCGAAGGGCCAAAUGGAGAAGAGAAGAAAAACUGAGGAAUCAGAGAAGACAGGCCAGCAACACACCUAGUCAUAUUCCUAUCAGCAGUAGUUUCAGCACCAGUGUCUACCAACCAAUUCCACAACCCACCACACCUGUUUCCUCCUUCACAUCUGGCUCCAUGUUGGGCCGAACAGACACAGCCCUCACAAACACCUACAGCGCUCUGCCGCCUAUGCCCAGCUUCACCAUGGCAAAUAACCUGCCUAUGCAAGUAAGUGCAGCUGGUGGUGGCCUGCACAAUCCAGGCCCCAGAGAAGUGAGGAGUGGCUCAAGGCCUGUGGACCUCAUUGGCUGUGUCUGCACCCUUGAGAGCUUUUUGCACUACAGUGAUUGGUUUGACCAGUCAAGUCGGAGACAGUCAAUCCCAUCACUUUUAAGUGAUUGACUCAUUAAUUCAUGCCCUAAAAAAAUUAGUAAUAAAAAUCUGUCC